rnacentral:rRNA from 1 species
GAUGAACGCUGGCGGCGUGCCUAAUACAUGCAAGUCGAGCGAACAGACGAGGAGCUUGCUCCUCUGACGUUAGCGGCGGACGGGGGAGUAACACGUGGAUAACCUCCUUAUAAGACUGGGAAAACUUCGGGAAACCGGAGCUAAUACGGGAUAAUUUAUUGAACCGCAGGGUUAAUUAGUAAAGGACGGUUUUGCUGUACCUUAUAGAUGGUUCCGCGCCGCAUUAGCUAGUUGGUAAGGUAACGGCUUACCAAGGCAACGAUGCGUAGCCGACCUGAGAGGGUGAUCGGCCACACUGGAACUGAGACACGGUCCAGACUCCUACGGGAGGCAGCAGUAGGGAAUCUUCCGCAAUGGGCGAAAGCCUGACGGAGCAACGCCGCGUGAGUGAUGAAGGUCUUCGGAUCGUAAAACUCUGUUAUUAGGGAAGAACAAAUGUGUAAGUAACUAUGCACGUCUUGACGGUACCUAAUCAGAAAGCCACGGCUAACUACGUG